GGCAAAUGUCCGGUGUGAUUAGUGGGAACGUAAUACAGCUCGUAUUCGACAGAGUGGAAAAAUAUAGAGAUAGAGUUACAAUCUUUAACGCUGGAUUACGCGCUGCAUAGUUUCCCGUCUAUCCCUCUGAAAAGCAAUUUGAAUCAAGUGUGAGAAUACAGGCUCUGCCGUUUUUGUUUGACAAGAAACUUAUAACUAAGCAAAUCUCAAGGGAUCUGAUUUGCCCAUGUAGGACAAAUUAAUUAAAUUACACUUUUUAACAGUAUUGCACAGUCAAAUAUUCAUGUUUUGCUUUUAUUUGCGUUUUCCCUCUACAGAAAUGGAAUUCCUUUUCAACUUGCAAAAACAAGAUCCAAAAAGAGUAGUGUUUUAUGAUGAGACCAAGGAUGGACCUGAUCAGUGAGGUAGAUGGUCUACUGUUGUUACCCUCUUCUCUUCUGUGAGCUGUGAUUCUCUUCCUUUGGAACCAUAAAUCCUGUCGGACAGAUAAAGGGACAACUGUGAAAACAUUGAUCGUUUAGCAUGACCGAAUCUCCAGUGAAAUAACAGACUUCUUUGGGGGCAUCAGACGAACACGCAGACACGCUGGAGGGACGCUAAAGGAGACUCUCUGUGCCUCUCCAACCACACAAAUACAAACUUUAGGAGCUGUGAUAUUGGCUCUUGCUUGAUGUUCGGGAGUUCAACAAAGGAAGGUGUCGUGGAAUGCACCGCCCUAAGCCUUUUCCCUGUCGAACUGCGGCGGCUGUCAGUCUGACUAUGGGAUGCCUCCGUCAUUUUCUUUCUUCACGCCGUCAAAUGGGUUCAUUGUAGAUCUGUUAACCGUUAUACCCACACAGUCGCGUGCAAGCUUGAAUUAUAGAACGAAAGGAGAGCACACUUUGCAGAGAAUGCCUUGAAGUUGUGGUUCAGUUGUUUGGAAUGAAGCUGUAAAGUGGAAGCUCACAGGUGAGGCCCCAUCCUGGAGAGGGAGAUCUUUGUCAAAAGGCCUUUUUUUUCUUUGGUAGGUUGAAAUCAGAGGCCAGACAAAAAUUGCUCGCCUUUUCUUUUAUACUCACUUUUUCUGCCCUAACAUGAGUGUCAUCUGCACUGCAGUAUGACCACAGAGCACAGGUACAGAAGUGCCCAAUUCGAAGGAAAGCCACGCCCCUUCAUUUCAAUGUUUAUUGCUAAAGAUUUUCAAAUCAUGUCUGUUAAAGGCCAAAUGUUUUUCAUCUUAAAGCUUUUCAUACAUUUCAUGCAGAUAAUUAGGAUGUAACUGUGUAUUCUUGCAUUCAGAUUCAUAUAUGUACACACACACACACACACACACACACACACACACAGUUCACCCCAAUCCAAAACGGUUUGUCUUUAGUUGAAGAAUGAAAGGAGCCAGAGGCAUUUCUACCAAUAAGGUCUUCUGCAUUUUGUGCUAAUUCCUCAGCAGCAAGACUCAGGAUGUCCUUACAGAUUAUUUAGCUUUUUUUCCUCUUUAAAAACUGUUCAAAUUCUAUUGUCAGGAACAUGUUGCGUUUUUGUAAUUGAUUUAAAAAAACAAACAAAAAAUAUCUCUUGAGUCGGCAUUUGGUCUGUUUUAUGGAAUCGUUUUUUGUUAUUUUUGUUUUUGUUGCAUGUUUACUGGUGGGAAUGAAUGAGUCCAGGUCACUGUUGAUCUCCAUUCAAAUAUAACAGUAACACAUCAUUACUUGCAAUACUAAUCUACGUUUCCCGACUGGCCAAACUGUGUUUAAAUGUGAACAUGAGUUGUACUAUUACGUUUUUAAUGUUAACAUUUGCAGACCAGUGUGCAAUAACACCAUGUGAUCCAUACAAUGUGUAAAAUGUGUUAUAUGGAGCUACAAAAUAAUCACCCAAGAUGCUGGUGGGGUUUAAAAAAAGUUGCAUGCAUUUUCCGUUUGCACAAAAUCCGUAAGUCAAUUUCGCUAAUGACCUCACGUCGAAAGAUCCAAUUAAAUCUGGGAGCCCACAUUUGCUAGCUGGCCAGCUGUGACACUUUCAUCACUGUCUCCAAAUCAGGAUUGGCUUAUUCAACAUAACGGAGGAAUAGUCCAGGAUUCGUUCCUCUAGAAGUUCUGAUUUGGUUAAUGUGUGGAUUAAUAGCACUUUAUGUAAACUAAUUGCUUUUAAUUUUUAGAUAGAUCUACAUGUACUGACAAGAAAUACUCCUUGAAAGAAUGGCUGUGGGCUGUUAGUCUUCAGAAAAAAACACAAAAAAACAAGUUGAUAAAUAAUUAUUAAAUGUAACUCAGGUAGUGUUGAUAAAGCCAUGACUAUGUUAGAUUUGUUUCUUUUUUCUUCCCCCCCCAAAUGGUCACCCUUAAUCUAAUGUUCUCAAAUUGGAAAUGUUGACUUGGAGUCUAAAACACCAAAUACUUUUGAGGAUAAUGGUCAUAGCAUGCAAGGUGCUAUUGUCAUUUUGGGCUCUAAAAAUGUUUUCCUCUUUAUUUACCACUGUUUUCUGCGUAUAAUAGACUGUAAUCGUGCAAUCCUUGGUUCAUUUUCUCAAUUUUUCCCUUGAUUUGUUCCUGCUUAACAUCAGUGGUGUUUUAUUUUUAAUCGGGUCACUACAAUCUGGGUUUAAGUUUUUAAGUACAUUUCUCUGAGCGCUGCAGCUCGCUUGCAGAGAGGGAAAGUGGGAACAGACGCCAGUCGUCUUGACCGUUAACUUCCAGGUUUUAUCUCAGUCAGCCCUUUAUUUAAAACUGUUUGUUUUUUGGCUCAUUGUGCGGCGCCAGAUGGCCGUGUGUACCAACAAAGGCUAAAAAAAGAACAGUUGUGUUGGAUCUGGUGGAUGAGGAAACGAGGGCGUUUUAAGACAUUUUGGCCUCUUAGCAUCUCCAUCUUCACGUUUAUAAAAAAAAUAAAAAAUAAAUAAAAUCUGUCACUAAGUUACACAAAACUCACAAUUCAAUUUGUUCUUGUUGCCCAUGAUCAAAACCCCAGAGUGACAUAAUCAGGUUCCCAAUGCUGCCAUAUAGAUCAGGCUGGAUGCAUCUAUAGGCUCUACGUGUAAACCAGGGUGAUCCAGAUGAGUGGUAUGUGAUGUUACUGUAGUCUUAAAACCUUUUUUUUUUUGUUGUUGAGAGGACGAUCCUCUACAGGGAAAUCCGCUAAUCUACUAGGAUCUAGUAUCCUUUUUUUUUUUUUUUUUUUUUUUUAAAGCACUUAAUUCAGAGGCUAUGUUCAAUAUGCAUUUAUAAAGAUAGAACUAUUAUUUAGCGUUGUAGCCUGCAAACCAAAAAACGGUUCUUGAAGCUGAGUAGAUGGGAAAUCAAAUGGGGGGUGGGGGGGGCUUGAGAACGUAAAGGCUGACCACAUGGAGCUCAUACCUCCACCCUCCAUCCUCAGGAUGUGCAAUCACCUCAAGGAUGCAGGCUUCCAAGUUGUGAGUGACGAGUUCGGCCUCGUUGUUUUGUGGCUGUGUGCGUAGAGUUCUUCCAAUUAUAUGCAAGUUCCUCGUAUAUUUCAAAACCCCCCCUUGUUUCAUGUACAGGUGCCUGUGUGAAAAAUAGAUAUUCUUUUACAGCAAAUUUGAUUGUUUGAAAUCUGCUUCCAUAUAUGUGCCAUUUUUUUUUUCUGGUUCUUUUUUUUUUGUAACAUUUGCAAUGGUGUGUUAAGUUUUCUUCCAUCUAAUCUGUUUCGUCUAUUAAGCAGCAUGGUUUCCGCGCAAGGCAAUGAAACAUCUGUGUGUAGUAGCUUUUAGAAUGUGUCAUGGCUUGUCUUCAGAAUUGCGUGACCUAAAGCCCAAAUCCGUGUGAAUGGGAUUGAUGAUGGCCGCUUGCUGGCGUAUACUCGGGCCAGUCCAUUGUCAAGUUAUUGUCUGAAGUAGCACAUAACUGAUUUAACAAAAUUAGUGUUUUAACAUGUUUUUUAAAGGUUUUAUUUGAGUUCUAACCUAAUUUAAUUUUAGAUGCACAAGUAGGAUGAGAUUAAAAGGAAUAAAUCAUACAGAAAAUCAAGAAGUCCUUUUUUUUUUUUUUUUUUUUUUUUUUUUUUUUUUUUUUUUUUGGUGAGUUUUAGAUCUAGUUACUGAUCAAGGCUAAUGUAGACACUAUUUCAAUUUAAUUAUUAUUUUUUUAACAAACUACUUAAACUAAUUUCUUCAAAUAGUUGCGAUGGAAGCAAAACUCAUCGAAACACACUGCAUCCAGGGGCCCCUACCAGGAUAUUUUUUUUGUAUUUGUAGUGAUGUUAAUCACGUUAUGUGGGGGACUGAGGUAUUAAUGUACGGUUCAACAACUCUGAAAUCUGCUAUCGCCAAAGGUACACUACUCAGAUAUUCAGCAGGUGAAUGGCGAGCGCACAGACAGUCACCGGGGACGUUGUUGAUGUCAUAACCAGCUACCUGACACCGUGCUGGGUUUUGAGGAGCAUUUAGUGAAGAAAAGGCACUGCUGUAGCAGCCGAGUCACUUUGAGCGUGUGGUCGUACGGUGCGAGAGAAGCAAUCUUCAAAAGAUGAAAAUAAAUGCUGAAAUCGAUGCUUUUUCAUCCUCCAAUCGUCUGGAAAUGCUGGACUUUGUUGUGUGUUUGUGCUCAACUUAACUGCAGCCUCCUUUUAAACGGUCUUUGCCUCUUGUUGAAAUGUUUUGAUUUAAGGGGCUUUUUUUGUUUAACUCGUUGACAGCUGAGAGGUACAGUGUUUGAUUCCACACAUGACAAAUAAAGUUUUUAAAAAAGGGGCGACGUGUGUCUUUAAAAUGUUCAAUUAUGAAAAGUGGCGCUGAGUUGUGCCAAGUCGUUUCUAGUUUUGUUUGUUUUCUUUUUUUAUUCUGCUCCUUUAUCACUUUCACAUCUCUUGCCUCCCUAAAAUAUGAGGAAACAACACUACUUAAAUGUCUUAAAAGGAGUGUCACAUGUUUUUUUUUUUUUUUUUUUUUUUUUUUUUAAAGCAUGAUAACCCCCAAAUUCCAAACAAUGUAAUAGUCAACAUAUAUCUAUAUAGAUAUAUAUAACUUCUAGUGUUCACAAUUAUAGUUUCUAUUAAAAUAUCAAAAACAGGA
ensembl:lncRNA